rnacentral:tRNA from 1 species
GACAUCUUGGCCGAGCAGGUAAGGCGAUAGUCUUGAAAUCUAUUGAAGUAACCCGCGUGAGUUCAAGUAUCACAGCUUUCA